AAGGGCAUAAUUUCUGUUAUAUUUGUUCGGCUUUGCCAUUAUUUAAAGAGACUGUCAUCCAUUUUGACUACUUUGUUUGGCAGAAUUAAUUAAAUAAUUGAGCUAUUUGAAUUGAUACGGAUUACGGAGGAUUAGUAGAUUUAUUUCUUGACCUAUUUUGAUACCAUUUGAAAUCCUGAACCUUCGAGAAGAACCUUGAUAGGCCAUUUAUUUCAUUACAAAAGUAUGGCUCUACGAAAAAAGAAAGAUAAGUUAGAAAAAGCUUUGAAUAUGAUGAGAUGAAACAACAAAUAAUGCUAAAAGGCUUCUCUUUCCAGAGACGCUGCCUUUUUAUAUUCUUGAUAAAGAUCAAAUCAUCUAUUGUUAAUAUCCCAAAAUGCUGAAUACAUUUUAAAAGUGACCUAU
rnacentral:lncRNA from 1 species